CAAACGACUCUCGGCAACGGAUAUCCCGGCUCUCGCAUCGAUGAAGAACGUAGCGAAAUGCGAUACUUGGUGUGAAUUGCAGAAUCCCGUGAACCAUCGAGUCUUUGAACGCAAGUUGCGCCCAAAGCCAUUAGGCCGAGGGCACGUUUGCCUGGGUGUCACG
rnacentral:rRNA from 1 species